AAGGAGUAAGCGAGAAGUAAGAUAAAACUCACUUCUCAAAUCCUAGGUCGAACACUUAGGAGCUUGCUGUUCGUUUUAUAUAAAAAACCCGAAACUCUUAAAAAGAGUUUCGAGGAUUUUUUGAGGCUCGGCCUUAGCCGAGUUUCAUUAAGAAAAAAGUUUUAAUUAUGAAUUAUAAAUUUUGAAUUAAGGAAGGAAAGCUUUGCUUUCCAACACUAAUUAUGAAUUAAAAACUAAGAAUUAAAAAUUGCUUCACACAAGUGAAGCCCAAGUGUUCUUUGAAAACUGCAUAGAGAGAAAAAACAAGUAGGAAAACAAUUUCAUUUGAGAACAACAAAUGGAACUCUCGCAAA
rnacentral:misc_RNA from 1 species